CGGGUGAGUAACACGUGGGUGAUCUGCCCUGCACUUCGGGAUAAGCUUGGGAAACUGGGUCUAAUACCGGAUAGGACUACGGACUGCAUGGUCUGUGGUGGAAAGCUUUUGCGGUGUGGGAUGGGCCCGCGGCCUAUCAGCUUGUUGGUGGGGUGAUGGCCUACCAAGGCGACGACGGGUAGCCGGCCUGAGAGGGUGUCCGGCCACACUGGGACUGAGAUACGGCCAG
rnacentral:rRNA from 1 species